CCCACUAUGCUCAGCCGUUAACACAGAUAGAAUACACACACCUCUAUUCGCCAGAGAAUUACAAGCGAAGCCUAGAAACUCAAAGGACUUGACGGUGUCCCAAACCAAACUAGAGGAGCCUGUCCUAUGAUCGAUACUCCACGCUACACCCCACCCCCCCUUGAAUCUCAGCCUGUAUACCGCCGUCUUCAGUUCGCCUUAUGAAAGACACACAGCGAACAAAACAGCCCACCGCUUUUACGACAGGUCAAGGUGCAGCUUAUGGGAGGGCAGCGAUGGGCUACAUUUUCUACCACAUAGAACACUACCAAACGCCACAUGCAAUAUAGGCCAAAUGGUGGAUUUAGCAGUAAGCUAGACAAGAUAUGUCUAACUGAAACCUGCUCUGGGACGCGUACAC
rnacentral:rRNA from 1 species